rnacentral:rRNA from 1 species
AUGGACGCGGACGUGCUCCUCAGCGCGGUGCAGUGGGAGGUGUCCAAGGCGCUAGCCCCCGUUGCGGAUGACGACAUGCAUCCAAUUGGAUUCCAACGUGGAGGCCAUCACGGACGAGCUGCAGUGGGUGAGGGUCACGCUCGAGAUGGCGAGCGGCAAGCAGCUCGGCGGCCCUGCCGCAAAGGUUGUUGGUACAUUACUGAGAAACUAAAGGGCUCUCCUCUUGCAGCAAAGGUUGUUGGUACAUUACUGAGUAAAGACCUUAGUUUGCAUCAUUGGAGAAGGGUCCUAGAAAGUAAAGAAUGGGAGACCAAUGACGAUGGAAUAAUGGUUGCGUUGAAGCAUAGCUAUGACGUUCUUCCUUUCCAUCUGCAACAAUGUUUUGCCUAUUCUGCAUUGUUUCCUGAAGAUUACCGUUACAGAAGCAAAGAGCUGAUCAGUCUGUGGAUUGCACUAGAUAUUUUGAUACCUAGUGGGCAAAACCAAACAUUUGAAGACAUAGGUCUGAGCUAUUUAAAUGUGUUAGUUAGCCAUGGAUUUUUCAGAGAAGAGGAAGCUGAUGGUGAUCGGUGUUAUGUUAUGCACUACCUGCUGCAUGGUUUGGCAUUGAAGGUUGCAUCGCAUGAUUGUCUUAGUUUGCGUCUCGCUGAUGCUGAAUUAGUAGAAAUUCAACCAUCCACCCGUCACUUGUCUAUGAGCACAGAGGAUUUAGGAGAAUAUAAUGCGGUGUUUGGUGAAAAAUUAAAGAGCAAUCUGGCAGAAAUGAAGACAAGAUUGAAGGUUGAACAUUUGCAAACAUUGAUUUUAUUUGGAGAAAUGGAUGAAAAUUUUGCAAAUAUAUUUGCUGAUUUUUUUUUGGAAGCAAGUGCUCUCCGUGUUAUUCAUUUACCCAACAUGAUAUGUCCCGUGGAGUCCAUGUUACAUAACUUUUCAGGACUCGUCCACCUAUGGUACCUAUGUCUAGGGACAGAGGACUGA